UGAGGAAUAUUGGUCAAUGGGUGCAAGCCUGAACCAGCCAUCCCGCGUGAAGGACGACUGCCCUAUGGGUUGUAAACUUCUUUUGUAUAGGGAUAAACCUACCCUCGUGAGGGUAGCUGAAGGUACUAUACGAAUAAGCACCGGCUAACUCCGUGCCAGCAGCCGCGGUAAUACGGAGGGUGCAAGCGUUAUCCGGAUUUAUUGGGUUUAAAGGGUCCGUAGGCGGACUUAUAAGUCAGUGGUGAAAGCCUGUCGCUUAACGAUAGAACUGCCAUUGAUACUGUAAGUCUUGAGUAUAUUUGAGGUAGCUGGAAUAAGUAGUGUAGCGGUGAAAUGCAUAGAUAUUACUUAGAACACCAAUUGCGAAGGCAGGUUACCAAGAUAUAACUGACGCUGAGGGGACGAAAGCGUGGGGGAGCGAACAGGAUUAGAUACCCUGGUAGUCCACGCCGUAAACGAUGCUAACUCGUUUUUGGGCUUUAGGGUUCAGAGACCAAGCGAAAGUGAUAAGUUAGCCACCUGGGGGAGUACGCUCGCAAGAGUGAAACUC
rnacentral:rRNA from 1 species